GCCAGUAUGGUGUAGGGGUUUGGGCAUUGGACUAUGACUCUGGAGACCAGGGUUUGAAUCCCUGCUUGGCCA